CUGCAUCAUUUAACCACCCCCAAAGAUAAAAAGCAAAAAGUAAACACUACUAUCUUUUUCAGAUGAGAAAACAGAUUCAGAGAAGUUAAGUAACAAGCUCAAGAUCACAGCAUUAAAAUCAUACCAAAGAGCAUAGCAAAGAGCAAAGCAAAGGCAUUGCUAUAUCUGAUGAAACUGGUCUGCCAAUAUGUGUUUCUCAUCGUUUCCUAACUGAAGCUCCAGAUUUAAUGAAACUGGAAAGAGGACCACGUAAGGACAUAAGAAGAAGAUGGGCCAUGUGCAGAUGAAAAAGAGGGCCUUCAUCAGACAUUGAAUUGUUGGCACCUUGAUGUUGAACUUCCCAGCCUGCAGAACUGUGAGAAAUAAAUUUUUGUUUUUUAGUCUACCUUGUUUGUGAUAUUUGCUAUAGCAGACUGAACUAACUAUGACAUCUAUCUGAGAGUUGGACUUUGUUUAAUGUUUAUUGUAGCUGUGGUUGCCAGAAGUUUGUUUCUUCUAAAUUUUGCUUCCCCUUUUGUCUUUGGGUUUCCCUAAGAACUCUUUCUUAAGUAGAGUCUGUGUCUUACAGGUUUCACAGUUGCAACUCAGUUAUUAUCCUGGUGUCCUGGUGAUAUAGCACUAAGUUAUUGAGGAAUAAAAGCGUUCUAUAAUCUUAUAAUUAAAUCUCAGCUUUUUUUAGUUGGCAUGAGUCCCUGGGUUAUGAGCUCAGAAAUUUCUAUUAGCCUUUUUUUUCUCUUCUUCUCUUGACGUAAGACCGGAAGGUCUCUGGAGUUGAUUAGUUGCAUUUCCUUUAGGUUAGAUAAGGCUCUG
rnacentral:lncRNA from 1 species